UAAAAGUAUAGAUGUUAUAGAAAACAAAUUACAUAUGGAUCUUAAGAAUACUUUGGCAUGGAUGGAUAAAAACAAACUUACAAUAAAUCUCAAGAAAACGCAGUGCAUGAUAAUUGGUACAGAAAAAAAAUUAAGAAAUUGUAGAAAACUUUCGAUAAAAGUGGACAGUAUCGCCAUCGAAAAUGUAUCAUGUGCAAAACUACUUGGUGUUUAUAUUGACAGAUAUCUCACGUGGUCUGAACAUGUUGAAAUUUUAACCAAAAAACUUGCAAGCAAAAUAGGUGUGUUGUUUAGAUUACGUUCAUUCUUGUCAACUGAAUUAUUACUGAAAAAUUUUAAUACAAUUGUUUUUCCUCAUUUUAACUACUGUUGUACUGUUUGGGGCAAUAUGAAAAACAAGGACGGUCUUUACAAAUUAUGCAAACUUCAAAAGCGAGCUGCUAGAUUGAUUUUAAAUAGAAAUUUUUAUACACCUACAACAGAAAUGAUGCAGCAACUUAGAUGGAUGCCUCUGUCAGACUAUUUUGUAUAUAGAACUAUCAUUCUUGUCUUCAAAGUUUUACUUAGUCUAACCCCCGAUUAUUUAGAUGUUUUUCAGUAUGUUCAUGAAAUUAGCAGUAGAUCUACCAGAUUAAGUCAAAGUAAUUCAUUAUAUAUCCAGAGAGCAAAGACACAAUAUUUUAGAAGAUCUUUUACAAUUUACGGUUCGCAGUUAUGGUAUAAUAUGCCAGAAUUUUUAAAAUAUUACCCAACAUUGGAAACUUUUAAAUCCGCUUAUCUUAGAAAUUUUUUUCAUUCGGGAAAUUAAAACCAUAUAGAUUUGUUUUUGAUUAUUUUCAGUUUUAUUUUUAUUUGUUUAUCUAUUUAUUUUGUUUUAUUUUCAGUUUUAAAUAUGUAAAUAACAUACAUGUAUGUAUACAACAUACCUUUAUAUACUAUUUUGUAUUGUAUCUGUAUAAUACUGCUGUCUGUAUAUAUGUUUUCAGGACCACAAUGUAAACUAGUUUUAAACUAAUUGUGCUAUCCUGUUUAGAUAAAGGACAUUAUUAUUAUUAUUAUUUUAAUAAGGCUUUAAUUUGUAACUUUCCGUAUGUGAUAUAGAUAUAAAGUUCAAACCACGAUUCCGGGGACAGGAUGAGCCCAGAAUGAAGCCUUGCAAAUUUGCACUGUAUCAUAUAAAAUAAUUAUUUAGAAUACGCCGGGUUUGAGAUACGUUAGAGUUAUUUCCCUUUGAAGAACUCUCAUAUAUAGUAAGGCGGGAAACAAAUUGUUUACAUGCAGGAGUGGGACGAAUAUUCAUCACUGCAUAAGUAAAUGUACGCAGUAUUUUUCUCAUACCUAGUUUCAUCGCCUGAAUUUAACUGAUACACAAACUAAGUAAGCUCACUCUGUCCCACGUAGGCACGCAAAGUUCUACUAACCUCCUACACAGGAGAGCUCUUAUCUCGAAACUGGCGUAUUACCACAGUGACCUUGUACCUCAGGAGACGGCUUAUAUCUCGGUCUGCUGUCCAUCCUGUCAUGAUAUACGUAAUAAGUUUGAAUUCAGUUAUGAAAUGAACUGAAGAGGAGGGGAAAAACAUGCGGCAAUUUAGCGGAGAAUAAAUAGUUUAUGCAUGUUUUCAUAUUCUAGUGUUUAUUAAGAUGAGUAUUCAUAAUGCAGAAGUUUGAAUAAUAUGACGUCAAGCAAAGUUUGAUAAAUGAAAGGUCUAUAUAUUCCGGUAAAACACGGACCCAGACACGCAUAGUCUUUGUUUUGGUCCUCGGUGAUAAGGCGAUUUAAAUUUGAGCAUUGAAAUCCAUAUCAUUCUUCUAUUGUUAGCUGUCUGCGUCGUUAAGUAAACUUAUCAAUGUCGAAGAAAGGUUUCUAAUUAGAAUUUUCACUUUAUUCAAGUAAGCAUUAUCUACAUAGUUAGGAUAUACCGCCGUCGAUCGAAAUAUAAGAAUGUUAAUGCCGUGUUAUUACGUUAAGGCAUUUAUUAAUAUGUGACAUUAAAGUUCAAUAGAAAUUCUAA